rnacentral:rRNA from 1 species
AUGGUGAGACCAUGUCAGUUAACUGUGAUCUGUCAGUCGGCGGUAAGCUUCAUCAUUUACAGAUUACACACGGUGCACUUCCCUUCCCGCCAUUUCAUUUACAGGUUACGGUGGGUUGUUUUGGAUGGACGGCUCGUCGUCCCUUCCCGCCAUUUCUGCCUCGCGUUCUCUGUCAUCCAUCUCGGCCACCAGCUCGCGGUACGCCGCGGAGGCCAGGCCGCCGGCCUCGGCGAUGGCGCCCAGCGCCGCCGCCAGCCCGACGCAGACCCUCCGCUUCCCUUCCUCCUCGUUCGGCGGCUCCUCCUCGGCGCUGCUGUUGCGGCGCCGCGCGGCCGUCGCGAUAGCCGCCGCCUCGGCCGCGACGCCCUCUACGGCCCGGAUCGCCGCGUCCACGUCCACGGCCUCGACCGCGCGGGCCCAGGCCACGAUCUGCCGCGGCAUGUCCUCGCCGUCCUUGACGCAGCUCCGCGCCCAGCCCCAGAGCGCCGCCGCGUACCCGCGCUGCGACUCGGCCCAGGCCUCCAGCGCCGCGCGCCAGCCGCGGAGCUCCGUCGCCAGCGCGCCCGCCGCCGUGGCCGCGCGCGUCGGCCCCGGCGGCGGCGGCGGGCCCCUGAUGCCUCCCUCCGCCCCGGCGGCCGAGGAGGAGAGGAGCGCGCUCGCCUCGUCCGCCGUGCGCUUCAUCACCCGGUGCGCGUCGCCGAUCACGCGCCACAUCCUUGCCAGCCUGAACAGCACAGCGACGCCGACGAGAAACAUCGAUCAAACACUUGCGGCGUCACCAUUGUCCGGGGAACCGAUCGAGCACGCCAUAAUAAACACACGUACCCUCGGAUGAGCUCGGCGAGCUGCGGCAGCAGCUCGUCGUCGCGGACGGCGACGAUCCGCCGGGACACGGCGUCGACGGAGGCGAGGGAGAUGUUGAGCUUGGUCCGGAGGUCCCUGAUGGCGGCCCUGGUCCUCUCGAUCGCGAACGGCUCCGCGCCGUUGGCGUCCUGGCUCCUCAGCUGCGCCACCUUCUUCUCGUACGACAGCCGGACGCGCUCCCCUGCCUGGAAAUACAUUUCAUAUCACAACUUCAUCCUAACUGGUUCUGAACUUAUGAUCAUUCUACGAGAGUUGGAGUUGAAUUCGAAGAGAAGCGCGUGUGAUCGGUCGAACGUACCCUGA